rnacentral:rRNA from 1 species
UACAUGUGGGGCAAGCGUUGUUCGGAAUUACUGGGCAUAAAGGGUGCGUAGGCGGCUUGAUAAGUCAGUGGUGAAAUCCGGUGGCCCAACCAUCGAACUGCCAUUGAUACUGUCGAGCUUGAGUGCGUGAGGGGUGACUGGAACGGGUGGUGUAGCGGUGAAAUGCGUAGAUAUCACCCGGAAGGCCAAAGGCGAAGGCAAGUCACUGGUACGCAACUGACGCUGAGGCACGAAAGCGUGGGGAGCAAACAGG